rnacentral:tRNA from 1 species
GCCCUGAUAGCUCAGUUGGUAGAGCGCGUUCUUGGUAAGAACGAGGUCAUCGGUUCAAAUCCGAUUCAGGGCUCCA